GGCUGUUCGCCAUUUAAAGUGGUACGCGAGCUGGGUUUAGAACGUCGUGAGACAGUUCGGUCCCUAUCUGCCGUGGGCGCUGGAGAACUGAGGGGGGCUGCUCCUAGUACGAGAGGACCGGAGUGGACGCAUCACUGGUGUUCGGGUUGUCAUGCCAAUGGCACUGCCCGGUAGCUAAAUGCGGAAGAGAUAAGUGCUGAAAGCAUCUAAGCACGAAACUUGCCCCGAGAUGAGUUCUCCCUGAGACUUAGAGUCUCCUGAAGGAACGUUGAAGACGACGACGUUGAUAGGCCGGGUGUGUAAGCGCAGCGAUGCGUUGAGCUAACCGGUACUAAUGAACCGUGAGGCUUAACCUU
rnacentral:rRNA from 1 species